rnacentral:rRNA from 1 species
AGCGGCGUAAGGGACAGUAAUGUGUAGGUACGUACCCCUGGGUCUGGGAUAUCCGCGGGAAACUGCGAGUAAUACCAGAUAAUGUCUCCGGACCAAAGGUGUGAUUCCACCUGGGGAGCGGCCUGCAUCCUAUUAGCUAGUUGGUGUGGUAAUGGCGCACCAAGGCAAAGAUGGGUAGCGGGUGUGAGAGCACGACCCGCGUCACUGGGACUGAGAACUGCCCAGACACCUACGGGUGGCUGCGGUCGAGAAUCUUCGGCAAUGGGCGAAAGCCUGACCGAGCGACGCCGCGUGUGGGAUGAAGGCCUUCGGGUUGUAAACCACUGUCGUAGGGGACGAAAUUUCAGUGGGUUAUCCCAGUGAAUUGACCGAUCCUAGGAGGAAGGGUGGGCUAAGUUCGUGCCAGCAGCCGCGGUAAGACGUACCACCCAAACGUUAUUCGGAAUUACUGGGCUUAAAGAGUCCGUAGGCGGUCAGGAAAGUUGGGCGUGAAAUACCUCGGCUCAACCGAGGAAUUGCGCUCAAAACUACCUGGCUUGAGAGAGACAGAGGUGAGCGGAACUGAUGGUGGAGCGGUGAAAUGCGUUGAUAUCAUCAGGAACACCGGUGGCGAAAGCGGCUCACUGGGUCUUUUCUGACGCUGAGGGACGAAAGCUAGGGGAGCGAACGGGAUUAGAUACCCCGGUAGUCCUAGCCUUAAACGAUGAGCACUAGA